UUGUGUGCGGCAGUAUAGAAAAGAAAGGCAGCGAAGAUCAGCGUCUGCGCAAGAACCAUCCCCCUACAGGAGAGAAUUGCGAUUUUUAUGGCGCGAUCGAUUCUGACGGCCGCCUCUGCCACAAAAAAAUAAUGGCAAGCUUUCGCUGACUUUUUUUACCGUCCUUCUUGCUGUUGUGGACCGUCCUUUCGCUGAGAUUCCGUUGCUUGUAGGGCUCGUUUUCGGCGCAUCAUCCAUUGGGAUGUGGGUGGUACUGGCAUUUCUCUGAAACGCAUCAUCUGUAUACUUGACAGUUGAGAAAAGUUGAUCGGCCAGUUUGGAUGGUUUGCUUUAAGGAUCUGCUUCUGUAGUUUCUAAAACCGGGAGCCGGUAGGUAGUUGCAAGGUAGUUCCGUAGCCGGUCUGGUCAAGACAUUUGGCCGUGAAUCAGUUUCCUUGCUAAAACCUCCUAGUAUAGAGUUUUUAGGGACCCAUAUUUUUUUGGUGGAUUCUUUAGCUCUGUUUGAGCUAUUAAUUUAUCUUAGUUUUCCAAACAUAUGCAAAGAACUAAUUUUUGAAAAUGUGAAAUCUUGGAUCUAAAGGAUUUUUUUCCAUAUAAUUUCAGUAUUAUGGAUAAAGGCACAAAAUAUUGGAGAGAAGAGUUUCUAUGAUAUGAAUAGAACACUACCGAGAUGCUCUACUAUAUGCAUGUAAUGGAAAGUGAUGAGAUGGUUAGAAUUCUAAGCUUAGUUUUAGAUUCAUUGCGACAAAGAAAGAAGAUAAAAAGACAAAAAACUUCUUUGAUUGGGAGAGUUUUCAACAAGAAGAUCUAGAAUGCCGAUUACUUGGGAUGAAAAAAUAUGUGUUCCCUUUUGCAAAAUCUCAGUCAAAUAGAGGAAAUAUCUACAUGUGAAAACGUUUUGUUGUGUGAAAAAGCAAUUAAUAUACUUGCUUAAAGAGUCAUCAACUUUCAUUUUAAUUCAUUCAUUUAAAAAUGUUUGUCAUUUCAAUAAUUUUAGAAAUGUAAAAUUUUUCAAAAAUAAAAAUAAAA